GACGGAAGAUCGCUGAUGAGGAAAAGCAGAAAGAAAUAAUUUAACUGAGCUUGAAAUGAAACAAGAGCUAGCGAAUCUCUGCUGGACAGCAGCGUGUCACUGUAGGAGCUGCUCAGUGCUGCUAGGAUGACCUGCAUGUGGUGGGAGUUAUUACACUGGUAUAGUAUGACUAUGUCACCUGCAGCCUCCAGCAGUACCAGUUACCUGAGACCACACAUCUCAGCGACGUGUGCGU